rnacentral:lncRNA from 10 species
ACUGCAAGCUCCGCCUCCCGGGUUCACGCUGUUUUCCUGCCUCAGCCUCCAGAGUAGCUGGGACUACAGGUGCCCGCUACCAUGCCUGGCUAAUUUUUUUGCAUUUUCGUAGAGACGGGGUUUCACUGUGUUAGCCAGGAUGGUCUUGAUCUCCUGACCUCGUGAUCCGCCUGCCUUGGCCUCCCAAAGUGUUGGGAUUACAGGUGUGAGCCACCGCGCCCGGUCGAGUUUUCUUCUUUAAUCUGGUGUUGAUCCUGAGAGUGCUUUGUUAAAAAACAUUCUCCAUGCUGACCUCCGUUUUCGAGUCCGCUUCCUGGGGAAACCUGAAACAGGACUUGAUGCUAGCAGCUGCCCAGAAGAACCAGAUGGGCCACUGUCCUUGCCAGAAGAUCUGAUAUCCUGUGUAUGGCCACCACCUAACACUGCUCACUUCUACAUGUAAACCUCAGUUGUCCCUCCAGUGAGUUUGUGUCACUCUUCACAGUCUGUAUUUCUCCUGCUUACAUGUGAUUCCCACAUGUUCUACAGAGUCUAAAGGC